rnacentral:rRNA from 1 species
GAUGAACGCUGGCGGCGUGCCUAAUACAUGCAAGUCGAGCGCACAGACGAGGAGUUUGCUCCUCUGACGUUUGCCGCGGACGGGUGUGUAACGUAUGGAUCCUCUACCUUAACGACUGGGAACUCUUCGGGAAAAUAGCGCUUAUACCGGAUUAUUAAUUGAUCCGUAUGGUUUACUAGUGAAAGACGGUUUUGUUGCUACUUAUAGGUGGUUCCGCGUCGUAUUUGCUAGUUGGUAUGGUAGCGCCUUACCAAGACGAUGCAUCGACGCCGACCUGGGAGGGUGACCGGCAACACUGGAACGGGGACACGGUCAGGACUCCUACGGAAGGAGGAAGUAGGGAAUCUUCCGCAAUGGGCGAAAGCCUGACGGAGCAACGCCGCGGAAGUGAUGAAGGUCUUCGGAUCGUAAGACUCUGUGAUUGGGGAAGAAGAAAGGGGGAAGUAACUAUGCACGUCGUGACGGUACCUAAUCAGAAAGCCACGGCUAACUACGUG